AUUUGGACAAUCUGACUCUUUCUCCAUAAAAAUGGACAACCACCAGACACUGACAGACUCAUUGCUUGGACCCCAGGAUAGAGAGAGCCAUCAAGCUGUCAGACUCCAGGCCCUGUUACAACUCAGCCUUCUGAGACAGCCUUUUCUACACACAGUCUGACUCAUUCCCUUGCCUGCAACCCUCUCAUUGCACCAGCAAACCCAGGGAGAGGAACAUGAGUCUGGAGAGGUCGUAGUAGUUGUCAAACAGAAGGCUGCAAAUGCAGGUCAUGGAGUCUACUCCUCUCCUCCAGAAGCAAAAACGUCAGUUCCCAGACUUUCCUCUCCGCCUCGGCGUCAUCAUUCCCUGCCCCAUACACACCCCCCUCACUUUGGACGCACGCGAAAGGGUAGCAGAUCCAGUUCCAUUGCUUACACAGCAUUCUCCCCACGACCAUCAAUCUCCCGCCACUCCAGCUUGGCCACCAACCCACCGCUGGAUCGCUCCAAACCAAAGAUUACCUUAUCCUGGCUAUUAUCGCCUGCUUCUGCCCUGCUUGGCCAGUUAACAUUGUGGGAUUUGUCUACUCAGUCAUGUCCCGCAACAGCUUGGAACAGGGGAAUAUCGAUGGAGCCAUACGGCUUGGCCGGGUAGCUAAGCUACUUUCCAUUGUGUCAAUUGUGGGUGGGGUUGUCAUCAUAGUGGUAUGUGCUGUCAAUUUAUCAAUUAAUGUGAAAUCCUGAGGUGAAUUUAUGCUCUCGAAUUCAGCUUCACAUCAGACUACUGCAGGAGACCAUGCAUCUAUCUGUUCCUGUGAUCACAGUUUUAGCUAGGUGGUUAAAAAGUAAGCUGACACAUUGUUCCUCUCUAGCACUCUCUAAUUAAUAAUAACACUAAUUCAGGCUACAUUCAACCUCAAACCCCACCACAAGAAAUGGAGGAGAAAUGCAUGAAUGUUUGAAGUGAUGUUUGCAGCAGACUGUUUUAACCAAAAGCACUUAAUAGUCGUAUUGAAAAUGAUGAACCCCUAAUCCACACACAAUCCACAUUAUGAGAAUAUGGCCUGGUCAGGAUGCACGUUUCAGAUCAGCUGUGAGAAUCACACUGUGUCAUGCAAAAUGUUUGUCAGAAACUUUUCAAGUCCUGAGACAUUCCCUUGUCAUGUGAAGAGGAGGAGAAUACACAUUGCACUUUUAGAGUGUUAAAUGAUAUGGCCACAUUGCCAGAUAUUGAACCAGAACUUAAUGUUUUAAUGUGAAAAAUGAACGAGGCAUUGCUGCAGUAUUAGCAGAAAGGUGGCAGCUCAUUAAUUGAUACGAGAAUU
ensembl:lncRNA